ensembl:lncRNA
CGACUGGGGAGACCGGCCAGCCAUGUUUGCUUACGUCUAAUCUGUUUUGGCAACCCGUGUGCAUUUGCGCGUGCAUGUGCGCGUGCGCGUGCGUGCAUUUGAGUGUGUGUGAUUCUUUAUCUCUGUCCCAGGAGUCUCUACGGUGUAGAACAUGUGUUCUGUGUCCAUCGCCACCCCACGCUGCUGCAUGUGUUUCAGUCUGGCUUCCUGCAGGUGUCUGCUCAGACUGCAGUCAGUGCCGAAAUGCAGGCGCUGGUAAAUUUACAGCCCCUGGCUGCAGCUGGUCAUGUUUCAGAAUCAUGGCGUGUUCUCGUCUACCUGUCUGCUAAAGCGCUUCCACCCUUCCACAUGGCCGAGUUCCCGCACCGGACAGGUUGCUGCAGUAUAUUAGCGAGUUGUUGACUGGCCGGUGAAGAGCACAUUUGUCAACAUAUUAGAGUGUGUCAACACUUGAACAUCAGACCGUCAGGCCACCCAGCCAAUCCUCCGACACAGACUGACAUCAGGCUUCAGUGCAUUAAACGUUGCCAGAUCGUCUUGUCCCGUACAGUCGUUUCCAGCGGUCUAUGUGUUCAUCAGCCAGUCUACCUGUCCUUCUAUUCCCCGGUUACGACCCUUGCCUGUUUUCCGGAUUACGAGCCUGCCUGCCCUCUCCUGUACCUUCGACCAUCCGAACGCCCGAGAACGAACACUGCCUGUCCCUCACCACGAGCCUGCCUGCCCUAUCCUGUACCUUCGACCAUCUGACCGCCCGACAACAAACCCUGCCUGUCCCCUACCACGAGCCUGCCUGCCCACUCCUGUACCUUCGACCAUCUGAACGCCCGAUAACGAACCCUGCCUGUCCAGCACUACGAGCCUGCCCACUGCCUGGUUGUUCAGUAAAUACUUUGGACCGCCCUCCUCUGCCUCUGUGUCCGCAUUUGGGUCCCCACCCGUUCAUCGUUGUGAUAUCGUAACAUUUCCCUACAGGUUGUUGGUUCCUAAGAAGAACUGGUUACGAAUAAACUUGCCUGGGUAACAGGACUGAAAAAAGAAAAACAUCAUGCCAACUAAAAUGCAAAUGAACCGAAACCGGUUUUAGCACACAACAAACACUGUUAGACCACUAGGCUGUUUCUCCAAUUGGCUUGGGCGGGACUAGAGGAGGUGUGUUGAAGUUUGGGGGCAGGGUUUAUGAGACAGCUGAGAAGGGUCAUUUUAUCAGAACACAGUGUCCUGGUCACUCUUAGCUAUCCCUGAGAUGCAGUUGGUUGGCUCAUAAACAUGAAUGCAUAGCUGAGUUAUGAAGGAUGGCUCACCGUCAGCCCCCCCGGCCCGUUGCUCCAUGGCACCCGAUGCAGGGCACCUGUUCCCACAGGGGCUGCUUCAGGUUACAGCAUGCCUGUUUGUCCCUGAGCUUUGAGCGUGCCAACUGCCGUGUCCCAGCCCAGAGCGCAGGCAGCUAUCCAGCCAGAGACAGAGUGACGUGAUAGGGGCUGAGUCAUGUGCCUCGCAGCUCUGAGGACCCCUUAUCAUGGGUCUGUCAACGCUGUGACACCGCUGGUGGAAUAUGAGUCUGUAUGUCUGCCUGUUUGGAUUUAUUUGCACGUACGUGCGGCCUACGUGGCUUAACAUAGAUGUUUGUGUUGCUAAUCCUACACCAGUGUUACGUUUAUUUUGGUCGGCCAAAAUGUCCCACUGCCUCCAACAAUAUACUGUACCCCUGCAGGGAAUGUGUGAAGUGUGUUAAUGGGAGGCUAUUAUUUUAUAUGUAAUAACAUUCUUUGUAUGGUUUUAAGAAACCAUUACUGCAACGUUUUGUUAACUGCCUGUAUUUCUUUUUCAAAGAAACGACCCAGUUUAAAUGGAUGGAUUUAUCUAGAAUAACAAGAGCUUCAGCGAACAAAAACAAUGUAUUUACAUUUAAAAGCCGAGUAUUAUCCUACUUAAAGACUGUGGGCAUAAGAAUGACAAAAUGAGACCAAGUGAUACCGGGCUAACUCAAACAGGGCUGUUAUGCAGUCUAGUUAAAGUGACAGUAAUGUGUUUCUACUAAUCACAAUUAAUGGAAAGAGUUGCCUGGAGGACGCUAAGCUCAAUGGUGAAGGCAGCCAGGCUAGCCUAUCCAUCACAAUGUCACGGGUGGAGGCACUUGGUCAGGCGGUGCGGUUAUGGUUCCCCUCACGCAAGGCCCUUGGGUGGGAUUAAAGCUCGACCAUGCAUCAACAACGACCACCACCAGCGGCACCCUUCUUUCCAAACACCCACACACGCACGCAUUCACAUGCACACAC